GACGGAAGGUGCAAGCGUUGCUCGGAAUCACUGGGCGUAAAGGGUGCGUAGGCGGCCGUGCAAGUCUGGCGUGAAAGCCCCGGGCUCAGCCCGGGAAGUGCGCUCGAAACUGCGCGGCUCGAGUGCCGGAGGGAGAGUGGAAUUCCUGGUGUAGCGGUGAAAUGCGUAGAUAUCAGGAGGAAUACCGGUGGCGAAGGCGACGCCUGGACCGGCAUUGACGCUGAGGCGCGAAAGCCAGGGGAGCAAACGGG
rnacentral:rRNA from 1 species